GACGAACGCUGGCGGCGUGCUUAACACAUGCAAGUCGUACGGUAAGGCCCUUUCGGGGGUACACGAGUGGCGAACGGGUGAGUAACACGUGAGUAACCUGCCCACAACUUUGGGAUAACGCUAGGAAACUGGUGCUAAUACUGGAUAUGUGCUCCUGCUGCAUGGUGGGGGUUGGAAGGCUCCGGCGGUUGUGGAUGGACUCGCGGCCUAUCAGCUUGUUGGUGGGGUAGUGGCCUACCAAGGCGGCGACGGGUAGCCGGCCUGAGAGGGUGACCGGCCACAUUGGGACUGAGAUACGGCCCAGACUCCUACGGGAGGCAGCAGUGGGGAAUAUUGCACAAUGGGCGCAAGCCUGAUGCAGCAACGCCGCGUGCGGGAUGACGGCCUUCGGGUUGUAAACCGCUUUCAGCAGGGACGAAGCUUUUUGUGACGGUACCUGCAGAAGAAGCACCGGCUAACUACGU
rnacentral:rRNA from 1 species